ACUCCUACGGGAGGCAGCAGCAAGGAAUCUUGGGCAAUGGGCGAAAGCCUGACCCAGCAACGCCGCGUGAGGGAUGGAGGCUUUCGGGUUGUAAACCUCUUUUCAUAGGGAAGAAUAAUGACGGUACCUGUGGAAUAAGCUUCGGCUAACUACGUGCCAGCAGCCGCGGUAAUACGUAGGAAGCAAGCGUUAUCCGGAUUUAUUGGGCGUAAAGUGAGCGUAGGUGGUCUUUCAAGUUGGAUGUGAAAUUUCCCGGCUUAACCGGGACGAGUCAUACAAUACUGUUGGACUAGAGUACAGCAGGAGAAAACGGAAUUCCCGGUGUAGUGGUAAAAUGCGUAGAUAUCGGGAGGAACACCAGAGGCGAAGGCGGUUUUCUAGGUUGUCACUGACACUGAGGCUCGAAAGCGUGGGGAGCGAACAGAAUUAGAUACUCUGGUAGUCCACGCCUUAAACUAUGGACACUAGGUAUAGGGAGUAUCGACCCUCUCUGUGCCGAAGCUAACGCUUUAAGUGUCCCGCCUGGGGAGUACGGUCGCAAGGCUAAAACUCAAAGGAAUUGACGGA
rnacentral:rRNA from 1 species